rnacentral:misc_RNA from 1 species
GAGCGUUGUCUCUCUCACGCCCGCCUGAAGUGCAAGCGCAGCGGACGCCUCCCCCUGUACAAAUCCCUUUUUUUCUGUUAGAACGCAGUCGCGGAGCAAUGAGCUCGCCACCGCAGGAUCCGCCGGAUGGCGUUAACAAUGACGGUGUUGGCGGCCGUCGCCGCUCUUCUAAGCCGAGGCCAAGCCCGCUCGCUUUUCCGCGAGAUCGCGCCUACGGCACCCUCGACAACGGCAACGGCGGCGAGGGCGGCAGCAGCGUCGGCGUAGGAAACACUCGGCAAAGUGGCCUUCUCAUGAACGGCGGCACAAGCGGGAGGCUCAGCAGCGACCCGAUGCCGCUGUGGAGCUACGCUGCCUCGCCUAUCAUCCAAAUUCGCGAUCACUGCCAUCAGCAGUGGUUGGCGGUACUGCUUACUGUUGUUCUGCUCCUCGUCACAUUCUACUUUGUCUUCGGUCUUUCCGCUCCGAUGCGGGCAGAGCGGUGCGCCACGCCGUUUGGCAGUCUGCUGGGAGAAAGCAGAGGUGUGGCGGCGUACAGCAACUGCCGCAACGACUACGGUGGGGAUCACAUGGAACACUUCGUCUCCGUAGGGCUGCAGCGACUCUACACUGGCUCCAAAUGGCAGGCCCUCGAGUACGCCCGCCGCUACUGGAUCCUGAAAUCGCUGCUGACCUUUCCAUCCCUUCCCAGGGCGGAUCAUAUCAUUCUCGCUGAUACCGCCAACUCCGUGAACGGGCGUCGUGGAGGUCGCGGCAGCUCCGUCGUGCCACUGGAGCGGUACACAAACCUUUUCCUGCCACCCCAGGUUCUGCACAACAGCAGCGAAGAUAUGCCUGUGAUGAAACUAAAUGGAGAGGCCAACAACCUCUCAGCUAGCGUGCGGCUAAGGAGCUGGCGUCAGGCACUCGUGCAGCCCCACGACAUUGUCGUGUACGCCAAGAACUCUCGGACGCUGCCGUCUGGUCACGUCGCGGUUGUGACGGCGGUGCGCGGCCCCUUUCACAGCGUCGCCGCAGCUGGCAAGGAAGUACACUGGUUUAUUGUGAAGAACGCCUCGAUACAGGGUCGGCAGCCCAUGGCUCCUGGAUCGACGUUGCCACGGUUGCUUCUGUCGCAGGAGCACGAGGUUGUGAAUGGCGCCGUGACGCCGCCGAAGAACACGACUGGUAGCGACACGGCAAGGCGUCCUUCCAGCGGCGGCUGUGAGAAUGUAUCUGCGGACGAGAAAGGCGAGGAAAUGGUGUGCGGGUGUAGCGUUCUCUACUACAAGGUGUUUGUUGUAGAACAAAACUGGGACAACUCCUAUUGGGAAGCGCUGAGCUAUUUGACAAAGUAUGACUGGCACAACCACAACAGCCAAAACAGCAUACCCAACGGCAACGGAACCGGGAAGGAGUCGUCGGCGAAGCAGCAGCGAAGGGCCGAAACGCGGCUGCGCAACUUUAGUCGAGUACUCCUCCUGCAUGAGUACUCGAACCCGCAUGGGUUCUUCCUCGAAGACACACACAACAAUCUCAUUCUAGGCUGGGUGCGCGCCUCUUCCGAUGCGUAACUUUUUUUUUGCAGGUGUAGGCGCGCGCGCAGCAUUCGCAAGUGGCAGCGGCGUUAUCAAAACACCCAGAGGGGGACCAAGGAGCAUCUUCUUUACACACAAACACAUAUAUAUUUACAUCUGCGACAGGCAAGCGGCUUUCCUUGCUCCUUCCCUAUAUAUAACCCUCCCUCUCUCUUUCUAUCCAGCACUCUCACCAGUAACGCGCAGCGACGGCAAAGAAGCCACACGAGGAGACAGCACUGAACCUGGUAGACAGAUUAUGCCAAACUGUCACAUGGCGGGCACGGAUGCACGUGUGAGCGCACGUGAAGGAGUGAGAGGGAAAGAAAGCGGUGGCAUCGGCGUCGUCGGUGACGCUGUGUACUAGCAAAACAAGAAGACACGCACGCAAAACAAAAAAAAGCAACGGGUGA